rnacentral:rRNA from 1 species
UGCAGUCGAGCGGUAGAGAGAAGCUUGCUUCUCUAGAGAGCGGCGGAGGGGUGAGUAAUGCCUGCGACUCGGCCUGGUAGUGGGGGAUAACGUUCGGAAGGGGACGCUAAUACCGCAAACGUCCUACGGGAGAAAGCAGGGGACCGUCGGGCCUUGCGCUAUCAGAUGAGCCUACGUCGGAUUAGCUAGUUGGUGGGGUAAUGGCUCACCAAGGCGACGAUCCGUAACUGGUCUGAGAGGAUGAUCACCCACACUGGAACUGAGACACGGACCAGACUCCUACGGGAGGCAGCAGUGGGGAAUAUUGGACAAUGGGCGAAAGCCUGAUCCAGCCAUGCCGCGUGUGUGAAGAAGGUCUUCGGAUUGGAAAGCACUUUAAGUUGGGAGGAAAGGGCCGUUACCUAGAAGGUGAUGGUUUGGACGGUUACCGACAGAAUAAGCACCGGCCAACUCUGUGCCACCAGCCGCGGUAAUAGGGAGGGUGCAUGCGUUAAUCGGAAUUACUUGGGCGUAAAGCGCGCGUAAGUGGGUUUGUUAAUUUGGAUGUGAAAUCCCCGGGCUCGAGCCUGGGAACUGCAUUCUGAACGGACUGACUGUAGUAGGGUAGAGGGUGGUGGAAUUUGUUGUGUUGCAAUGCAUAGAUUAUAUUUAGAACACGAACACGCGUGGGCAAGGCAACCACCUGGACUGAUACUGACGAGAUGUGACGAUGGCGUGGCGAGCGAACCAGACUAGAUAACAUAGCAUGCCACUCCACACACUAUACUAUCUCAACUAUGCCUUUUCAGACUUGAGCACUAAGUGACGCUGCUAACUUAUUACCUUGACCACCAGGUUAGUAACGACCGAAACUGUUAAGAAUCUGAUGAAUUCACGCGCACCCGCACCAGCGGUGGAUCAUGUGGAUUUAAUUCUAUGAUUCGCAACGACCCUUACCACCGCUACCAAUCGCUUGACGACAGUGGAAAUUUCAAAUAACGAUUGGUGCCUUUCCUGAAGCCUUUAGACACAGGUGGUGUCAUGGGUGUCCUCCGCUCUGGGUCGUUAGAUGUUGGGGUAAGUCCCGUAACUAGCGCAACCCUUGUCCCUCGUUUCCAGCAUGUACUGCUGGGCACUCUAAGGAGACUGCCGGUGACAAACCGGAGGAAGGUGGGGAUGAGGUCAAGUCAUCAUGGCCCUUACGCCUUGGGCUACACACCUGCUACAAUGGUCGGUACAGAGGGUAGCCAAGCCGCGAGGUGGAGCUAAUCCCAUAAAACCAAUCGUAGUCCGGAUUGCAGUCUGCAACUGGACUGCGUGAAGUGGGAAUCGCUUGUAAUCGCGAAUCAGAAUGUUGCGGUGAAUACGUUCCCGGGCCUGGUACACACCCCCCGUCACACCAUGGGAGUGGGUUGCACCAGAAGUAGAUAGUGU